GGUUAGUGGUGGUCGUUGGAUGUGUUUGGAAAUGGUCGGAGGUGGUCGGAGGGGGUUGGGGCUGGUUGCGGGUGAUCGAGAUAGAUGAGGAGGUGACCGAGGAGCAGGACGGGGAAGAUGAGAAGAACAAGGUGGACGAGGAUGACGAGGAUUUGUGCACUGUAUAACUCGAGGUGGUUAGCGGUGGUCGUUGGAAGUGAAUUGGUAGUGGUCGGACGUGGACGAAGAUUUGUGCUCGUUCUGUGCCCCACCUACUGAUCCACU